GAGGGAAGAGCAUGAGUUGGAAGUGCUCCACUGAAAUCCACUUCUUGGAAUCAGCCCCCAUGGUGAGGAGAGAAACUUUGAUUCUGCAGUGGCUCCUUGGAGAGGAACAACAGGGAUGGCAGUGACAGACAAAACUGGCCACCGACCCUGGGGUAUGGGACACUGAGGUCCAGUGCAGAGAAACUUGGUUAAAGUGGCAAGCUUUAAGAGGAUGGCAAAUCUCAGGAAGCAGGAGCUCAGCCCAGGGCAGGGCAAUGGCAGCAGAUACCCUGAUUCUCCUCUCAGCAGCCCAGACCUGCUUCCAGCAGACACCUGGAAGGGACCCCUUGCCCCCAGUGUUUGUGAGGCUUCUGCCAGGACCUCAGGUCACCUCAGGGUCUGUUUUCCUGCUUUGUCUUC
rnacentral:lncRNA from 1 species